UCCGAAUUGGUGUAACGGUCAACAUUUCGCGUUUUCAUGAUACUUCUUCAAGAUCAUAUACCGCGGAGCUCGGGGUUCGAUUCCCCGAUUCGGAG
rnacentral:tRNA from 1 species